rnacentral:lncRNA from 1 species
AUGUGUUUGUUCCCAUACAGAUUGCAUUUUUCCUUUUUAAAGAUAAGUGGAUUUGAUGCAUUUAGUUUUGCUGGUAUGUUGUGUGAUAAUUUAACUGAUCUCUUACUGUCUUUUCAGGCUGAAACUAUGAAAAUCAAUGCAUCAAACAUGUUUCUCCAAGGCCAAAUAAAAGAAGUUGAAGGACAUAUCACAGGAAUUUUAGGUAAACUGAGUAUCACUCAGGAAAAUCAAAGGAAGAUAUGGGAACUGAUAGAGAAAGUCUUGUUACGUGAAGAUGAAGACAGAGUUUCUGAGAAUCCAGAAGAAGAGUAAUGAAGUAAAGGAAGAUAAAUACUUGCCCGUCCAAAAGGACUCUUAACAUCCUGAAUUUGUACAAGUGGAACCCAGGCAUGAAAAAUGUACUGUUGGACCUUAGAAUACAAUAUUAAAACACAACUUCAAAACUGGAAACAUUAUUCCUUUUUUUUUUUUUUUUUUUUUUUUGCAUAUGUUAUUAUUGAUUGCUAUACUGUCUGCAUAACAAGCUAUAUGAUAUAUGUCCAUAUAUACUGGUAUAUUUCUAUAUAUGGAAAUGGUAUAUUUCCAUAUACCAUUUUCAGAAAACGUCUAGUGCUAAUAAUUGUUUAAUUAACUAGCUGUGUUUUUCUGUGAAGCUUUCACUAGACACUUCCCUCAUUCUGUCAUAAAUUCUCUAAACAGAGGAACUACUUCUAGAGGAAUAUCAGGUAUUAAACUCCCAGGACAAAACUCACAGCGGAAAGUUAUUUAAGUAAACUGAAGUUGCAUCUUCUAAAUAAGACAUGAAAGCUGGUCUUGAACUAGGCCUUGAAUUAUGGUGCCAAGUACUGGAACAUGAGCAUUAGUUCUGUCAGCCUUUUCAGGAUUUGUAAAUUUUGCCUUUCAUUUUAUGAAAUCUGUCUAUGGCUGCAAAAAUUUUGUGAAAACACAAUUCAGGUUCAGAUCAGGUAGGCACUUGCCUGAUUUCACAGAAAGUCUGAGAGAACAAGUCAAAGAAAAGAAAUAGUCCCUUUCUAUUGGAAGGGAAGUUAUAAAUACCAGUAAUUCAACUUAUGCUAUGAGGAUUGUUCUGUUUAUCUUUAUGAAUGAAUGUGAAGAAAAAGCAGGUAGGAGAAAGAUUACACUUUCACUUUUUUUUUUCCUUUUUUUUUUUUUUUUUAAUUGAAUCCAUGCUAAAGAAACAUCUUUAGGCCCAUGCAGGAUAAACCUGGGGACAAUGGAUUUUAUUAUUAUUAUUAUUAUUAUUAUUAAUUAAAAAAAAAAUAAAAAAUGGAAAGGGCUCAUGAGAAUAAUCACACAGCAUCAAGCAAGAGAAGUCCAGACAUACUCGUGACAAGACUCAUAGACACAGGGAUCUUGGUAUUUCUUCAAGCCUUUUAUUAUUUGAGAAAAUUUAAUGGCUAUUUCAAUUACUUUUUUUUUUUUUUUUUAAUAAGGUGGUUUCAUCAAAUUUCAUGAAUAGGUUAUCACUGUUGUAAGUGACUUUGCAAGGUGUCAUGUUGGAGAAGUUACUUCUUAGAGCUGACUUGUUAGGUGUUUUUUUUUUUGUUUGUUUGUUUGUUUUCCUUUCUUUAGGUGCAGAUCCAUAAAAACCUGUAGCUGCCAGAACUAAAAAAAUAAAAAAAAAAUUCUGCUUCCUUCUGUCUCAAGCUGCUAAGACUAGAUACACAUGAAGUCCAAUUCUGUAGUAGUCACAUUGUAUUCCUAUGGGAUAUGCCGUUGAGGCAUUAAUGUCCCUGUCUUUAACACAUGGACAUCUCACAGAAGGAUUCCAGCUUGUCCUAGGAGUUGUAUUUCAAAAUACGCUAUUUCUUCUUGUGUUUAUUUUUGACAUGUAGAUCCUUUAUUCUGUCCCCUGAGGAAGAACACAAGAAAAGGAAUGAUUAGGAGAAUAUCCCCCCCAGCAUUUUCUCCCACCUUUUAGUGAACUACUUUUUGUUUGAAACUGCAUUCUUUUGCUAUCCACGUUAGAGAGCAACUAAACAAGCCACGAUGAAAAAGGAAUAGAGAAAGAUAAUUAUAUUGUCUUCACAGUUUGCCACCCAAGAUUUCAGUUGACUGUGGAAACCUGCCAUGGAAUGAUAUUGUCACCAAGAAAUGUGAGAAGGCUAGAAAUUUCUACAGGUAACAAGAGUAGUCAGAAUUAUAACAAUUCAUGUUUAAAACAGAAAGAAAGUUGGAAGUAAGCCAGAAUCUAAUCUAUCUAUCUAAACUAUUGAGUAGAAAGGGGACUUCAUAUACCAACAUAUAGUGCCGCUCACUGCUGGAGACAGAGUUCUGUGGAAAAUGCUUCCUGAAUUUGGGUCCAUGGUGCCAAUUCCCAUGUCCUUAUUUUAGAGAUGGAAAAUUGGGAGCAGCUGUGAUUUCCCAGGAAUAUACUUUAGGAUGGUAAAGUAAAAUACUGUAACCACAAAGCCCCAGAUUCCAUAUUUUAUCUCUUUUUUCUCUCUCUCCCUGUGGUUUGGAGCCUUGCUGAUCAUUUCAAUAAAGUCACAGCAGGGGAAAGGAUAGAAAUGUGAUUUGAACUUUCUUCUGGUAAAAAUGUAUGCAUUAGUCUCUCAGUAUAAAACUGCCAUUAACCCAGAAAUGUUCUAUAUUAGCAUAUGAGUAAUUAUUGAUAUUUGUGAACUAGAAUGUGCAUUUUGGAAUCACUAAUUAUUACAGCAAAUUUUUAAUAAUUCUUGUAACCCUCAAUUUCUCUUUAUUGCAUUUAUGAAAUAAAUAUAGGGGCUCCCAGAAGGUGAAUGUGAUAUUAUUUUCUGUUCACCUCUCAUCAGGGACUCUGGAAAAAAUUUACAAACAUCAAUUAACUUUCACCAUGCUGACAUCUGGGAAAUAACUUCUUGAACCCAUGUUACAGAUAGAUAAAUAGGAGUUAAACAACUUGGUCUGGAUCAUGUAGUAGAUUGGGAAGAGUUCUCACACUGUCUCCCAGUUCCUAACUCAUGACUAACUAGUAAGCAUGCUGCCACAUGGUUUAUUUACAUUUUGAGUCUGUUUUAAUGGAUUAAGUUGCUGUUUCUUUUUCCUCUGAAUCAUCCAAAAUUUGGCAACACUGUAUGUUAAUAAAGCUUUUACAUACUUAGGCUAGUAUUUAUAGCUAAAGAAAAUAUUUAUUGUCACCUUUGGUUGUUUCUAACAUUUGUGUAUGCUGUUAGCACAGAAUGCUAGCAAGCAAAGCACAAAUAAUUUUUUGUCGUUCUUUUUAAGACUUGUUACCACUGAAAACAGGACAGUGGGAGCUUUUGGAUCAGUUCCUUAUGCUCAUAUUCCCCAGUUAGUUUCAUUUUUGCUUACACAGUAGCCUUUCAGCUUACAAAUAUUUUUAUGGUGGUGGUUGAUAAGGCAUGCCCAAGAUGAUGAGGAGCUGCUUUUUCCUAAUGUGGAUUUGUGGAUUCUUAUAUACUUACCAACUCAGCUUAGACUGAUUAUUAACUUUAUUUUUGGAGUUUUCCAUUGUAAGUUUUUUGUUUGUUUGUUUGUUUUUCCUAUGUUACUUGUAGCCCCUUUCAGAUCAACAGUGGUAUAUCUGAUUAUUGAUGGACGUGUAAAACUUCUGUUUUUUAUAAUUACUAUCUUUCCAUUUCUGGCUGCUCUAAGUAAUUAAACCAUGUCCAUGGAGGUUCUUUAAAGGUCAUAUCAGUUGUUCUUUAUGUGUGAUUUUCUUUAUAAAGCCAGAGGGACCACUACUAUUGUAGUCACAAUGUGGUACUGGAGGAUUUACUUCCAUGCCAAAACAAAAUAAAAAAAAAAAUAGGACAUUAUCAUUAUAUUAUUAGAAGUUCCUGGAACUAUUUCUCCUGAAUACAAGGUGGUGCCAAAGAAAACUAGGUACAUUGCUGUACCAAUGACUUUCAAGUUUUAGGGACAUUCUCUCAGGAGAAAGCCAUUCAUAGUCAUUUGUGAGAUUUAGAGAUGCCAACUGGUUAUCUCAUUUUGGAGCUGAGAUGGACAUUUAUUGGAACAGAUGGGUAGGUACACUAUGAUAAUUCUCUUUGUAAUAUGAAGCAUUAUUAUUUAAAAGUAUAUCAUAUUAUACCUGGUUUGUUGGUUGAGGGAGCAGUCAGCAGAGGCAUUAUUACCCCAAAGUGACUGGUUAUUGCUAUCUGUUCUGAAAUGAAAUCCAGUUAUACGAUGCACAUCUAUACUAGCAAAGUGACAGUAUAAAGUAGGAUUAGCUAACUUAUCUAUGUAUAAAGAAAUGUAAGUUAAUAACAUGAAAAAGACCUACAGAAGGACUUGAAAUUGCCCAGACUGGCCCAAGGGGAUAACCUAGCCGUCUGUUACCAUUUGGGCAAGUGAUAAUCACACCUAAUCAUGCCCAGUGGACACCAAUAUUUCCAGAGAAUAUGGGAGCACCCAGAGGGUGUGAGAUCAAAGGAAACAUUUGAAGAAAGAAGAGACAGGGAAAAAGAAGAUCUAGAAGAGCUCUGAGGAGCUGGGAAGAAGCAGGAAGUAGAGAAUCCCCAAUCAAAUUUUCUUCAAGAUUUAAAAAAAUAUUUCCUUUCUGUUAAGUGACUAGAUGCUGGUACUUGAUCUCUGAAUAUCUAAGAGUGAGUCAGCUGCACCAUGCAUAUUCGUGUGAACCAUUAGAGCUGAGUGAAGUAAGAGGCUUUACUUUAAUCUUUCAUAUUUUUUUCUAUAAAUUUUGUAACUUUUAUCUUUUUAGCUUCAAUCAAUAAAUGGCCUAUUUUACAAUUAGUUUAGCUUGAGUUCAAGUUGAUUUCAGGGUGCUGGCAAAUGUCAAGAUCAGUUAUGUGUUCUGGGUAAGGAAACUUAAACCUGACUGCAGGACUUACUUAUUUCCACUAUCCAUUGUUCUUGGUUUCCAAAAGGAAUCUCAGCAGCUACCCAGCUACGUGUGCCAGUUUACAAGCUGAAGUAACAGUCAUAUAUGUGGAAGAAGCCUCUUUUGGCUAACAGCAUUAAGCCCAACCCUUAAAGAAGUGAGUGGUAUGUGACAUUUAGUUUAGAAAGAAUUUUUAAAAAGCUAUUUUUUCCUUGGAAAACAUUAGAAAAUAUUCAUGAUAUAAGCUAGAGAGGGUGAUCUGAGGAGGCGAUUUUUGAUAAAGGUAAGAAUGGAAGGAUAAGCUGUUGUCCUGGUUUCAGUUAGAACAGAGUUAAUUUUCUUCCUAGUAGCUAGUGGAAUGCUGUGUUUUGGCUUAGGAUGAGAAGAGUGCUGAUAACA